UCGAGCCAGUCUAGACAAGCAAAGUCAGGACUGGGUGGGGACUGCAGAGGGGAGCAUCAGUGCUUCUUGCAAUGUCCCCCCACCCAUAGCCUUCCAUGCUGGGAGCUGUCCCUUCAACCCCGGGCCCUGCCAGCUGCAAGCCAGAGCUCCCGCAGCGUGACCAAGCUCCAGGAAUACCAGACAGACAGAUGGAUUCAUGUUCUUGUUUUAUGACUCUUGGGCCCCAUGGACUGAGGAUCCUGGGGCCGUCGGAUCCGUGGCCUCAGCUGACACCUCCCUGAAGCUACUGUCUUUCAACCCUGCAACAAGGGGUCUGUGCAGCAGCUUUCAUGUGAUUUCUGCCCAGGAUUCAACCUGGAAGAACUAAGGAGUCCACAGAGGUUCUACCAAAGUGAACUUGCCAGCCUCGCUUAUCACUCUGCCAAUGACACUCAUGCCUCUUCCCUGCCUCACCUGCAAAAGCUGGUUGUGCAAACCCGAACUGUGGAAGAGAUCAUCUUAUUCCCCCAACUCAGGUUGGUAGGAUAGACCCCAGCCUCCCACCAAAAUGUGUUUGUGCAGAGCCCAUUUUCAAAGGGGUGAGGGAAGGCUCCCAACAUCCACUGACAUGCUGAGUGCUUUAAGAAGCGUGCUAUUUCUUUAAUCUUCACACCUUACCCACUGUUUCCAUGGAGGACUUUGAGGUUAAGAGAGGUAGGUACCCUGUCCAAGCUUGCACAGUUAGUCGGCAGCAGAGCCGUCGCGUGUCUGGCCCCAAAACUCACUCUCCUACUGCUGUUAGGUACAGACCUUGUCCUUUUCCACUAAAGAAUUAAUGGCUAUAACGUCACUGCAUAGACAUUUAUUUCCCCCAUCACUUUCAAUGUCCUAUCUACAAAUAUUGUAUUACACGACUUUAAAAAGAAAAUACUGACUCAAAGUUAGUAUCAAGUUUUCAGCCAUUUUUAACAAUCCCAUUAAUUUGUCUCUCUCCUCCCUUGUUCUAUCAUCACAUAAAGGGAUCAUCAGCCCAUGCUUGGACACAGCCUGCUGGUGUUUUCAGAGACAAAAAAAAAUGGUGUUGGAAAAAACUCAUUUUUGAGCUAUCAAUUCUUCCAUUAGUCUUUCCAUUACUCAAUACAUUACAUUUACACUAAAAAUGCAGAAGUCAGACUUGUAUAGGAGCUGUGCUUUCUGAAGCCAGAGUAGGAUUUAGGGAAGUUCACAUGGGAAAGAGAAAACCCAAUCCUUCAAUCCCAAGUCUACUGAGUUCUUGAAAGCAGUUUUAGGUCCAACGUACAAAUUAUCUGUUUUUAGAAAUUCCCAUAACACAGAGAAGAGGACUAAAUACAUUAACAAACCCCAGGGAUCUUUUCCUUCUACACCACCUUAAGGCACCAGAGAACUUCCAAUAAUUUAUUUCAAAGCUAGGUAGGAAUGCAGUUUGCCAUUGGUGCACAUGCCGAAGACAAAUCUACUUUUGUUUGCUUACCCAACUGGCAGAUAUAUCUAUCACAGAAUAUCUCUUUCUGCAUAUUCUGGAGUUUAGGAUGCAAACAACUGCACCCAAGAGAUUCAUUUAGUGUGUCAUUUACCACCCAAUUAUAUUAUCUGAACUUUCAUGGAAUUGUGCAGUGACCAGUCACCAAGAGCUCAGCUCCAGGCUCUGCCACAGCGGAGCUCAAAGCAGUAACACAUCAUGCAUUUCAUUUCUUUAAGAACCACCAGCUGUUUAAAAGGCCCUCUGAGGGUAGAGUUACAAAGCCAACUCAUGGUCAAAAAUUCUCCAGAGAUGAGAAGUUUCCUCCUGUAGACUCUGAGGACACAUUUCUUUCCUAGCUAGGAGCAUAAAUAAAUAUGAGUCUAGCACAGAAGAAACCCACAAUAGCAUUUUAGAACUUAAAUAGCACAGGGAAUGGGGGAGUGGAAAGAGACUAUGUGACUGUAUUCCCAUGGUUCUCCCCCAGCUGCCCAUUAGAAUCACUGGGGAGCUUUUCAAAUAGAUCUCUGCCCAGGGCCCCACCCAAUACAACUUGAUUUCAGUGGCCUGGAGAGAGGCUUGGGCAUCAGUGUUUUAAAAAGCUCUGCAGGUGAGUCCAACAUGCAACCAGGGUGAAGAAUCAUCAGUACAGAAUGCGGUCUUUACAUCCUUCAAAUGACCUGGAGGGGGUAAGUGGCAGGGCUGCAGCCCCUCUUACCCUGCCUGGACUCCCAGCCCAGAGCCCUUCCGACCACAUGACACUGUCUCAACAGAGAAAAACAGGUUGUGUCUAAAAUAUGUCAGAAAUGUCUCGCACCCUAUUCUCAGAAGUUGGCUGAGUUCUCAGAAGGUUUCACGUUUCAGACCUAGAAUUUCACCCUGGAACCAAAGGGGAACUGUGAAUCUCUUAAAAGAAGCUCACCAGCCUGAAGAUGAAAAGCCCCUCUCAAGUUUAUAAAAGUUUACUCAAUAAAUUGCUGAGUAAAACAAAUAGAAAGGACCCCAGCUGUAAAAGGACUUGCGUUCCCUGUUCUCUCCAAUGAUGGGUAACUAAACUCAUAUAAUAAUCUCAUUCCAAAGCAAUUCAAAAACCUUUGACCAGCUUUGGUGCUUGAUUUCACACCGAGAAACUAGGUAAGGAAGGCUACGGAAGGGUGGAUUUAAAGAUCAAUCAUGUAAGUCUAGCCAAAAAGUAGGUGAGUUUCCAAGAUAUCCUGGGAUUCAGGGCUUCCCCAGGGCGAAAUGCAGGCAUGAAUUCCACACAAAAUGAAAGAAUUCCUUAAACUAACAUCUAUCACUAGAUGAUGCCAUAUAGAUUGCAACCCAGUAGAAAACUAAUUGCAUCAGACCAAGACCUAAAAUUCUGAAUCAGCAGAGCCUGCCCCAUGGCACGGUUGGAGAAUACUGCAUAAUGACAUCCGAACCACGUUCAGUCCCAUUUGCAGUCAAGUGGCUUUGUCACUGGACCGCAGAUGUCAGUUAACCUCAUCUGGGAAUCAGUUUCCUCGCCUGUAAAAUGGGGAGGAGAAGGAUGCUUACACUAGAUGAAGUCUGAGGCUGUCUCCAGCUCCAACAAUGGAUGUUUCCGGAUCUGUCACCUUAAUCACUGACCUGCUGGCUUGCCUGGGAAGGGCAAUGGCAGGGCCACUCUGAGCACACAGCCCAUGUGUGUCACCCUCUGUAUGUCACCAUGUGUGUCACCAUUUGUAUGUCUUGCAUUUGUUGCAGCCCAUUGGUCUGCAGAGCGAUCAAACCACACUACCUCAGCGUGUCCCCACUGCCGCCACACCUCCGACAUACCUAUUUUAAGAACAGUGCCUAGCAGUUCAUGGGGAAACGUUGCUAUGCCAACUAGCUGGCUGUUGCUAAUCAUAAUCUAUGAAUGUGCAGUACAACCAUCUGACAAGUAUUUCUUCUCUGCCUUAGCCUGUGGACUUUCUUCCAAAUUGUCAUAUGACAGAUCACCUUGUUCAUAAUGGCACACAGUAGGUGUAUAAUAA
rnacentral:lncRNA from 10 species